UUUGGGUUUCAGACAGAGCUUCUUCUGACAGAAAAAUGGAAGAUGGAGCUUACAGUGAAUAGUAUUUGACUUGGGAGAUAUUAUGCCUUCCAGGUGAAACAGAACAGAUGCUCUAGAGGCAGAUGGAGUAGAAGGUUUGUGAGUUUUUUGUGUCAAAACAAGAAGGACAAGCAGGAAGAUAAGAUGUAAGGCAGCAGCAUAUGGCACAUGGCUUCCCAAAUCUCAAUGGGCUGCAUUUCCCAUUGUCCAUCAUGCAGAAAGUCCAGUAACAUCUGGAUGGCUCCGCAUUUCUCAGUGCUCUGUAAUAAGAUGAUGGACUCAUUUCAUAGAAGAUCAUCUUAAAAGAGGGGUGAGAACUGAAUGGACUGUAAUUCCCAACAGUCAUAACCAGCAUGGCCAACAGGGAGGAAUUCUGGGAGUUGCAGUACAAAAACAUUGGAAGAGACUCACAAUUCCCAUUCUUGGGAUAUCACUUCUAAUAUUGUGCCUACCAACUGCAGUGUUUUUCAGAGUACUUUCAUUUAACAUAUUUGCUUUUUUUCUCAAAAGUUGCUAGAUCUCAAUCAAUCAGCUGAUUGUGCCAACCAAUAAGUCAGUGAAAUGCUAAACUCAUCACCUUUCUUGUUAUGAAUA